rnacentral:rRNA from 1 species
UACGGGGGGGGCAAGCGUUGUUCGGAAUUACUGGGCGUAAAGGGCUCGUAGGCGGCCAACUAAGUCAGACGUGAAAUCCCUCGGCUUAACCGGGGAACUGCGUCUGAUACUGGAUGGCUAGAGUUUGGGAGAGGGAUGCGGAAUUCCAGGUGUAGCGGUGAAAUGCGUAGAUAUCCGGAGGAACACCGGUGGCGAAGGCGGCGUUCUGGACUGUUUCUGACACUGAAAAACGAAAGCCAGGGGAGCAAACGGG